AUUGAACGCUGGCGGAAUGCUUUACACAUGCAAGUCGAACGGUAGAGGGGGCAACCCCUCGAGAGUGGCGAACGGGUGAGUAAUAUAUCGGAACGUGCCCAGUCGUGGGGGAUAACGUAGCGAAAGUUACGCUAAUACCGCAUACGAUCUAAGGAUGAAAGCGGGGGAUCGCAAGACCUCGCGCGAUUGGAGCGGCCGAUAUCAGAUUAGGUAGUUGGUGGGGUAAAGGCUCACCAAGCCAACGAUCUGUAGCUGGUCUGAGAGGACGACCAGCCAAGCUGGAACUGAGACACGGUCCAGACGCCUACGGGAGGCAGCAGUGGGGAAUUUUGGACAAUGGACGCAAGUCUGAUCCAGCCAUUCCGCGUGCAGGAUGAAGGCCCUCGGGUUGUAAGGUGCUUUUGUACGGAACGAAAAGGUCUCUCUUAAUACGGGGGACUCAUGACGGUACCGUAAGAAUAAGCACCGGCUAACUACGUGCCAGCCGCCGCGGUAACAC
rnacentral:rRNA from 1 species